rnacentral:misc_RNA from 1 species
AAUAUAAUAUCAGCCCCUCUUCUCUUGUCGAGCGGUUUGGAUGUGGGGGGUUCUCUUUGCUGGCCUCUUGAGAGGUUCAGCUCCCCUGAAAUGCAUUAGUGGAACAGCCUGUUCAAUCGGUGUGAUAAGACUAUCUACGCUGUCGAACAUGAGGUGGUUCAGCUUCCUAACAGUCCUAGGACAAGUUUAUCAUUCU